rnacentral:misc_RNA from 1 species
AAAUUACACCGUCAAAAACAGCACAAGGGGCUCUUCCUUUCUUCUUCAAUUACCCGCCCGAAAGGUCUCAACUGAUAGCAUUGCUGUGUCGGAAGAAGGAUUGUUUUGAGGAUUGUCAUGGUUGCAGCGAUUUUCUCCAAACGGUGUCGUUUUUCGUGAGGAUUGGUUAGGGUUUGAUGGAUUCCGCGGUGGAGAUCCAACCGGAGGUUGGAUCUGAUGGUGUGGGGGAGAAAAGGUUGGCUGAUGAUGAUGUGGAAUUGGUGGAACCAGCUCCGAAGAAAGCGAGGGGUGAGGUGAUUGGGAAUACGAAGAAGGUUGCUGAAAUGGUGCUUGUACUUGCUGCUUUAGGGAAGAUGAGAGGAGGUAGGGUUCCUACUGCUGCGGAGAGGGAAAUGAUGGCAGAGGCAAGGGAGAGUUUGGCUCAGGUAUGCCAAAGUUUUGCACCCAAGGAUGUGUUUCCAAGAGAUGCUUUUGGUGCUGUUAUGGAGGAUCUCGGUCUUAAUAAGCUGAAGGAUCAGAGGCUAGGAUUUCGCCCUCCCAAAGUGUCCAUUGCUGAGAAGUUACUGAUAGCCAAAGAAAAGUUGGAAAAAACUGAGGAAUUUGCUGUACCCGCUGCUACAUAUUCAUCUCAACGGCCUCAAUCUAAUAUGGCUGCAACAAUUGAAAACCGUGGUCCAUCACAUGUUCGUAUGUUUCCUCACAAUAAAG